rnacentral:rRNA from 1 species
AGAGUUUGAUCCUGGCUCAGAUGUGAACGCUGGCGGCAUGCCUUACACAUGCAAGUCGAACGGCAGCACGGGGGCAACUCUGGUGGCGAGUGGCGAACGGGUGAGUAAUACAUCGGAACGUGUCCUGUAGUGGGGGAUAGCCCGGCGAAAGCCGGAUUAAUACCGCAUACGAUCUACGGAAGAAAGCGGGGGACACCGAAAGGCCUCGCCGCCUCAUAUGGGGNGCGCGCGCAUGUGGCACAAAAUUAAACCCAUAUUUUGGGGUUGGGGGGUUAAAAGGGCCCUAACCCAAGGGCCGAACGAAUUCUGUUAGCCUGGUUCUGAGAAGGAACGACCCGGCCCACACUGGGAACUGAGACACGGCCCCAGACUCCUACGGGAGGCAGCAGUGGGGAAAUUUUGGACAAUGGGGGAAAACCCUGAAUCCAGCCAAUUGCCCGC